rnacentral:lncRNA from 10 species
CAGGACGUCACUGAAUCCUGGGGGCAGGUUUUCCUGUGCUGUUCUUGUGAUAGUGAAUAAGUCUCACAAGACCUGAUGGUUUUAUAAAGGUCAGUUCCCCUGCAUGCAUUCUCUUGCCGCCACCAUGUAAGAUGUGUCUUUGCUUCUCUUUUGCCUUCUGCCAUGAUUAGGAGGUCUCCGCAGCCAUGUGGAACUGUCUUCAAGAAUGUCCGUUUAAAACACAAGAGAAGGAAGGUUUCAUCUUAAAUGAUGAUUGGCAGACAGUAGAGACCAGAACAAACCUUUGAGGAUUUGGAUACAGAGUAAACCUGAAGGUAUUCUUGUUCAGGAACUACAGGAGGACUAACAAAUUAAAGAACGAGUCACUGCAACUACUUAACUUUGAAUUUCAACUCCCUGAGAAAGCCCUGGCCCCUGUUCCCUGACACUGGCCUGUGGAAUCUCUG